rnacentral:rRNA from 1 species
CAAUAGCGUAUAUUAAAGUUGUUGCAGUUAAAAAGCUCGUAGUUGGAUUUCUGGUCGGGGCGACCGGUCGGCGUCCUUUGUGGCGUGUGCACUGUUGUCGGCCCCGACCAUCCUGGCGGAAAAGGUGUCUGGCCUUCAUUGGUCGGAGACGGGAUCCGCCACGUUUACUGUGAAAAAAUUAGAGUGUUUAAAGCAGACGAUCGCUGUGAAUACAUUAGCAUGGAAUAAUGAGAUAGGACUUUGGUACUAUUUUGUUGGUUUGCGCACCAAGGUAAUGAUUAAUAGGGAUAGUUGGGGGUGGCUAGUAUUGGCCGGCCAGAGGUGAAAUUCUUGGAUUCGGUCAAGACUAACUUAUGCGAAAGCAUUCACCAAGGAUGUCUUCUUUAAUUCAAGAACGAAAGUUGGGGGAGUCGAAGAUGAUCAGAUACCAU